AGAGUUUGAUCCUGGCUCAGGAUGAACGCUAGCGGCAGGCUUAACACAUGCAAGUCGAGGGGCAGCAUAAUGGAUAGCAAUAUCUAUGGUGGCGACCGGCGCACGGGUGCGUAACGCGUAUGCAACCUACCUUUAACAGGGGGAUAACACUGAGAAAUUGGUACUAAUACCCCAUAAUAUCAUAGAAGGCAUCUUUUAUGGUUGAAAAUUCCGAUGGUUAGAGAUGGGCAUGCGUUGUAUUAGCUAGUUGGUGGGGUAACGGCUCACCAAGGCGACGAUACAUAGGGGGACUGAGAGGUUAACCCCCCACACUGGUACUGAGACACGGACCAGACUCCUACGGGAGGCAGCAGUGAGGAAUAUUGGUCAAUGGACGCAAGUCUGAACCAGCCAUGCCGCGUGCAGGAUGACGGCUCUAUGAGUUGUAAACUGCUUUUGUACGAGGGUAAACGCAGAUACGUGUAUCUGUCUGAAAGUAUCGUACGAAUAAGGAUCGGCUAACUCCGUGCCAGCAGCCGCGGUAAUACGGAGGAUUCAAGCGUUAUCCGGAUUUAUUGGGUUUAAAGGGUGCGUAGGCGGUUUGAUAAGUUAGAGGUGAAAUCCCGGGGCUUAACUCCGGAACUGCCUCUAAUACUGUUAGACUAGAGAGUAGUUGCGGUAGGCGGAAUGUAUGGUGUAGCGGUGAAAUGCUUAGAGAUCAUACAGAACACCGAUUGCGAAGGCAGCUUACCAAACUAUAUCUGACGUUGAGGCACGAAAGCGUGGGGAGCAAACAGGAUUAGAUACCCUGGUAGUCCACGCAGUAAACGAUGAUAACUCGUUGUCGGCGAUACACAGUCGGUGACUAAGCGAAAGCGAUAAGUUAUCCACCUGGGGAGUACGUUCGCAAGAAUGAAACUCAAAGGAAUUGACGGGGGCCCGCACAAGCGGAGGAACAUGUG
rnacentral:rRNA from 1 species